GGCUUUUUAAUUCAACGUUGAAGAAAUUCAUAACCUGUGGCACUUUUGACAGCCGCCAUGUUUUCUACAUAAAAACAUUGAUUUUCUUUGCUCAUUUUCGUAUCAACGUAGUUUUUUUGGAAAAUAAGAAGAAAGGAAGUUUAACUAACUUAGAGAAAUACGACUGAGACAUGUAAGUAUCAAUGUAUUAACCUAUUUUUUUGGAAAUAUAACCGGUUGUAGUCAAGAAGGUAUUGUAAUUUACAAUGUAUCCAAUUUCUGUUUGAAUUGUUUUAGAAUCAUGAACGAGAUGAACACAAGCAGCAGCCGAUGUGCUUGAGUUGCAGAUGGAGCAACUGCGUUGUGAGAGGGCCACGGCUUCAGCCCUCACAAUGAAUAGCUGAAGCAAUGAACAGACAGGCUGCAGUCAAUGAGAGGCUUCUUGAGCAGGGGCUCCUCAUAUGGAAAAAGGCUAAUGAAAGGAACAAUCAAGACUGGCGGUGCGCGGGAGGAUCCCGUCCCUGCGCCUGGCCUUCAAUGGCCUCACGCCUCUCUUCUUCCUCUUCUUCAUGCGUCAAUUCAAACAGAGGAGCACCUGUGAUUACUGAUUACCUAAGUUCCUAUAUACAAUAAUAGUUUAAUAAUUGUUAACAAAAUAUUGUAUUAUAUAAGUAUUAAUAACUAUACACAAGGCUAAAAGCAUUUUGUAACAGUCAACCUAUAAGAGAGAAUAUGAGAAAAAAUAAGACAAUUUAAUCUUUGAUUGCCAUUAUCUGUAGCUUUAUUAAGUGGUAAAGGGACCUAAUAUAUGUAUUUGUGAUAAUUCAUAGAAUUUAUUAGUUCUAUCAAUAAAUAAAAUAGACAUGCA